AGAACCUGCCGUAUACUGGGGGAUAACACUUAGAAAUAGGUGCUAAUACCGCAUAAGCGCACAGCUUCGCAUGAAGCAGUGUGGAAAACAAAAAGCUAAAGCUUUUGGUGGUAUACGAUGGAUCCGCGUCUGAUUAGCUUGUUGGCGGGGUAAAGGCCCACCAAGGCGACGAUCAGUAGCCGGCCUGAGAGGGCGGACGGCCACAUUGGGACUGAGACACGGCCCAGACUCCUACGGGAGGCAGCAG
rnacentral:rRNA from 1 species